rnacentral:rRNA from 1 species
UACGAAGGGGGCUAGCGUUGCUCGGAAUUACUGGGCGUAAAGCGCACGUAGGCGGCUUUCUAAGUCGGGGGUGAAAUCCUGGAGCUCAACUCCAGAACUGCCUUCGAUACUGGAAAGCUCGAGUCCGGGAGAGGUGAGUGGAACUGCGAGUGUAGAGGUGAAAUUCGUAGAUAUUCGCAAGAACACCAGUGGCGAAGGCAGCUCUCUGGGUCCCUACCGACGCUGGGGGUGCGAAAGCAUGGGGAGCGAACAGG